UGGCUCAGUGGUAGAGUGCUUGCCUCGCAUGCAUGAGACCCUGGGUUCAAUUCCUCAG
rnacentral:tRNA from 1 species